GGGGAUGAUCGGUUUCGACGACGGUUGUCGUUUCAGGGGAAGCGGGUCGAGGAUGCAUGGUCAUCUCGUUAACGCUCCGUGUAAACAAAUAGGUGCCGAUAACACUCGCACCGACUUCGCCCUCGCCGCCUGAGCGAGUUGCCAAGUCCGUCAGCCCGGGGGUGCUUUCGACCCGGAUCCUGGCGUCGUCUAGAGAGCCACUGCUGCCAGUCCACGUUGCCGGGAUUGGCGGGACUUUUAGGUGACUGAGCCCGUCGGCGUCCUUGUUCGCGUGAGACGCCGGGGCCGAGAAAAGCGCUAGCGAACUGCACCCGGAGAAGUCCUGGGCGCGCACCGUCGGACCGGGGUUCGAUUCCCCGCAUCUCCACUA
rfam:Actinomyces hordeovulneris strain DSM 20732 Scaffold5, whole genome shotgun sequence.